rnacentral:rRNA from 1 species
UUGUUCUGUGACUGCGUACCUUUUGUAUAAUGGGUCAGCGACUUACUUCUCAGUAGCAAGGUUAACCAUUAGGGGAGCCGUAGGGAAACCGAGUCUUAAAUGGGCGUUUAGUUGCUGGGAGUAGACCCGAAACCGGGUGAUCUAUCCAUGGCCAGGGUGAAGGUUAGAGUAACAUCGACUGGAGGCGCGAACCCACUUAUGUUGAAAAAUGAGGGGAUGAGCUGUGGAUAGGGGUGAAAGGCCAAACAAACCCGGAGAUAGCUGGUUCUCUCCGAAAUCUAUUUAGGUAGAGCGUCAUGUAUUACUUCUGGGGGUAGAGCACUGUUAUGGCUAGCGGGUUGUCAAGACUUAGUAAACCAUUGCAAACUCCGAAUACCAGAAAGUAUGAGCAUGGCAGACACACUGCGGGUGCUAACGUCCGUAGUGGAAAGGGAAACAACCCAGACCGUCAGCUAAGGUCCCAAAAUUAUAGUUAAGUGGGAAACGAUGUGAAAAGGCAUAGACAGCCAGGAGGUUGGCUUAGAAGCAGCCAUUCCUUUAAAGAGUGCGUAAUAGCUCACUGGUCGAGUCGGUUUGCGCGGAAGAUUUAACGGGGCUAAACUAUAUACCGAAGCUGCGGAUCGCAAUUUAUUGCGAUGGUAGGAGAGCGUUCUGUAAGCCGUUGAAGGCAAACUGUGAGGUUUGCUGGAGGUAUCAGAAGUGCGAAUGCUGACAUGAGUAACGAUAAAGGGGGUGAAAAACCCCCUCGCCAGAAGUCCAAGGUUUCCUACGCAACGUUAAUCGGCGUAGGGUUAGUCGGCCCCUAAGGCGAGGCAGAAAUGCGUAGUCGAUGGGAAACGGGUUAAUAUUCCCGUACUUCAUAUAACUGCGAUGGGAAGACGGAGAAGGUUAGCUCAGCAAGGCGAUGGUUGUCCUUGUUCAAGCGUGUAGAAAUGGUUUUUAGGAAAAUCCGGGAACCUCUAUUUCAAGGCGUGAUAACGAUCCCUCUUUUGGGAGAAGUGAGUAAUACCAUGCUUCCAGGAAAAUCCUCUAAGCUCUAGGUUAUAUGAAACCGUACCCCAAACCGACACAGGUGGACGAGAUGAGAAUUCUAAGGCGCUUGAGAGAACUCGGGUGAAGGAACUAGGCAAAAUGACACCGUAACUUCGGGAGAAGGUGUACUCUUGUUAUGUGAAAUCACUCGCUGAUAGAGCAGAAAAGAGUUGAAAAUACUAGGUGGCUGCGACUGUUUAUUAAAAACACAGCACUCUGCAAACACGUAAGUGGACGUAUAGGGUGUGACUCCUGCCCGGUGCUUGAAGGUUAAUUGAUGAGGUUAGCGCUUGCGCGAAGCUUUUGAUCGAAGCCCAAGUAAACGGCGGCCGUAACUAUAACGGUCCUAAGGUAGCGAAAUUCCUUGUCGGGUAAGUUCCGACCUGCACGAAUGGAGUAACGACGGCCACACUGUCUCCACCCGAGACUCAGUGAAAUUGAAAUUGCUGUUAAGAUGCAGUAUACCCGCGGCCAGACGGAAAGACCCCGUGCACCUUUACUACAGCUUUGCAUUGAACUCUGAUCCUACUUGUGUAGGAUAGGUGGGAGGCUUUGAAGCUUUAACGCUAGUUAGAGUGGAGCCAUCCUUGAAAUACCACCCUGGUAUGGUUGGGGUUCUAACCUAGGUCCGUAAUCCGGAUCGGGAACAAUGCAUGGUGGGUAGUUUGACUGGGGCGGUCUCCUCCCAAAGAGUAACGGAGGAGCGCAAAGGUAUCCUCAGCACGGUCGGACAUCGUGCAAUGAGCGCAAAGGUAAAAGGAUGCUUGACUGCGAGACUGACACGUCGAGCAGGUAGGAAACUAGGUCUUAGUGAUCCGGUGGUUCUGAGUGGAAGGACCAUCGCUCAACGGAUAAAAGGUACGCCGGGGAUAAC